GAAAAUAAAACGAAUAAAUAUUUUGACAGAUUAUAAUAAUAUGCCAAGGAUGCUGUGUGAAAAUCUCCUGUAAUAACCCUUGAGUGUAUAUCUCCUUAAUAAUGAUAAUUGUUUCAACUACCGGAUCUUUAGAUUGUUUCCCCCUAAGACCUCGGAGGGAAACCUUUGGUGUUCAAUCUAACCUCUAAGUCCUUAGAUGAUUAUGAUGAAACCAAGUCAUUUUAGUUUAAC
rnacentral:lncRNA from 1 species